GACUGGACGACUACAACGACGACACGACCGGUCCCUCACUCAGGUGACUGUAUACCUGUGUUCUCUAUAAGUCAAUACUCCUAAUCCUAUAAUUACUAACAAGUCAGUAACUCCUAAGCUUUUCUCCGUAGUUACGAGGUCAUUUCCAACAUAACUUCAACACCGACAGUUAUCAGGAAAAUAACUACGAUUGAUGUACCGGAUAUACAAGUUCAUACUGAGGUGAUUACCGGGGAAAUCUCCUAGGUAAUUCCAGCACCUACUAAGUUAUGUCCUCUAAUUACGUUUUUUUUUAGUGUUGGUGUUCGUUUUCCAUUUAUACGGUCCCAAUCGACUAACAAACGGUAUAAUCACACCAACUAUAUCUACAGUACCAAAGAUUUAUACGUACUGUACAACAGGACUUUAUUCCUGUACACUUCGUUACUUCAGCGGCUUCAUUGUAAUAAUGAAUUAUUAGCUAAGUAUCAAAUCUCGGGGUACAAAAAACGUGUAAGUAUGACUGUAUAUUAUCGAAUGUUCACGUGCGAACAACAUGUAGAGCUCAUGACCUACAAGGAAGAGAAUAAAACUAAGACUACAAGUAUACAAUUAAAAGACGCUACCUCCCUUUCCUCUUCAGACUUACACGGUUGUUCAUCGCUGGUCACUCGACAGCAGAUACUAACCGAUACCCUCCUCAACAGAACGCGACGUUCCCGUAGAACGUCUAGCUAAAGGAACCAAACUACAUAGAGCCUAAGACUAAUCAGAAACUAAAGUGUGUAAACAAACCUAUAAAAGAAACGCAGUUCGUGGUACUAAAAAAAUAGUGAUCAGUUGUACGUGUCAUGAUAGAUUCGUAUCAACAACCAAGACUCGAAAACGUCGUGUAUUGUUUAGAAUCGAAAGUCCUUAAUACUAUAACCGGUAAAGGUGACUUGUACUUCUCCCAUGUACAUACCUGUACAUCUUUGACCUCACUUAAUUGUAUUAGGGUAUCUUACAUCAGACUCUUUACUCUUAUCAUGCGGUUGAGUCACUCCGUUCAUGGCCGGACAAAACGGUAGGGACACUAUUUACUUUCAAUCAAAUCCAUUAGAACCAAUAUUUUAGUAAAAGAAUUUCCGAAUUGAAUAUUGAACUGUCUUUAAAAAUAACGUGGACUUAUAAACUAAUACUUAGAUUCAAUACCCUUUAUCCACCUCAUUCUCCUUUACCCCGCAACAAUCCGCCCUGGAACGGUGACAACGGAACCCAAAACCGUAGCUUCGUGGUGGUACAUACCGAUCGGAAGGUACCGAUGUAGCUCCCAGGGUUAGACGUCAACUAUAUCUACGGUACUAAAUAUUUAUACGUACCGUACAACAGGACUCUAUUCCUGUCACUUCGUUACUUCACCGGUUCACUCGACCCUCGGCCCCAGUAGGGACAGUGGUGGUCAGCUUGUAUGAUGAAGUCGGUGGUACAACUCGCUAUAUUUUCACAAGAGACAAAGUAUCUCGUUGUUGUGCUCUAACACGGGGGUGAACGAGGACCACGUACAACGACGGGAGGAGGGGGGAGACUAAACUGAACGAAAUGUAACGCACUUCAACAAAUGAAAGUUGAAAUGUUUCGAUAUAGUUCAAGUGUUGACAUGAACCGAUGUUGACAUUGUACUACGUAAAGAGAAGGUCAAAUAACUUAUAUAAAAAUUCCUAACUUACAAGAUAGACCAUGACAGGAUAGUGAGUAAAUUGAUAGAAUUAAACAAGUGUUUUGAGGAAGACAUCGAUUCUAAAGAAACAUGUUGUGCAUGAUUAAUAACCAGAAUAAGAAUUUAGAAUAAAGUGCAAUAAGUCGACGUCCGACCCAAUUCUAACAAAAACACGGUCUUUGUCUGAUUCGUUACGAGAUUGGAAUUUCCCGUUGGACCACGUACAUCGAGGGCGAACGCGUCCCAGGUCCCUUCCCAGGCUGGUGAAACCCAGAUAUCAUGCGUCGGAAAGGGAUGUAAAGACAUUCUCCGACAAAGGUCCUGAACUUGGGUACUGGAGUACCAGUGUUCCGUCGUCGAAAUGGUGACGCGGUUACGAGAUUGGAACCGUCGUUUUUAACAGAUUUAAGGUAUUUAUUCCAGCACCUUGUAGAAACUUAUGCAAGUAAAUUUAUAGAACUCAGCUGGAUAUACCCAACGAAGACACGUGUUAGAGAAACUAUACUUAAAUAUCCUCUCUUUAAGAAAGUACCAUUACUACAUAAUAGCUAUAAAUGAGACAAAGAAUCCGUAUAUUCAAAGAAAAACACCCUACGUUAAUGCCGUGGUAUACUUAUACUAGGAACUCAACGUAUUGUAAAUAUUUCUUACAGAACCUUUAACGUUCAUCUACUAAUGCAAAUGGGACAUUGAAAUCCUCAUUCUAUAUAUACCACUAACUUAGAUCUCUACGAACGAUUAGAUAUUGCAAUUCUAGGUCAGUACACGUUAUACAAAAUAAGUAUCUUUGAACCUUAGUUAGACCGACUUUCAUUAGUGGAAUACCGCACCGUACUUCUCCAUCAAGUGUUUGGAGACAAUCCACGAGGUAGGAAACAGUGAGACUAAACGAAAGGAUUAUAGACCGAAGAGACUUGUCUACACACGUCUAAACUCUUUCUUCUCCUUAUUAGGUCGUCUUCUUAAACCACUUAUUCUUGUUGAACCGUAAAGAGAGAACACUUGUCUCAGUACGGACGGAAAACUAAAAUAACAAACACGAUUACGUUUGUUCUUAAGAGAUAUCAAGAACUGCGUUGUGGAGAUUAAUGAGUUAGACGUUAUGUACUAAUCCUCUUCAAAUCACGUACUUAAUCGUAAGAUAUUUCAGGCAGAUUCGAGUACAGAGAUCCGGUCCCAUCUAAAGAGUUAUAGUAAAAACCCUAACAAACUUGUGACUUGUUGUAACGGUCCAGUUGGUAAAGAGUACAUAAACAGUAUAGACAUCCAUAACACCACAGAGUUAAAACAGUGGUCGGAGAAAAUGGCUGGACAUUUGAUAGACAGAGCUCCAGAGGGACUGACAUAAACCCAAAUCUUUUUGUUUAUUGAUAAAAACCUGAAUAAAAACGUAGUUGAUGAAACAUCCAUAAUACACACAACAAUCCCUAGACUAUAAUACAUCAAGGUCCCUAAAGUCUGCCAGACCAGUCAGGUAACAAGAAAGGUACACUAUGAAAAAGAGUCAUAACACUAGUAGUCACGAGAACUGUGACCAAUGAAAAAGAAUAAUGACACUAGCAGUCACGAGAAUUGUAACCAACAAGAACGAAAUACCAACGGAAGGGUCACGUGGAAAUAAUGAAGAUUGUAUAAUUAAAAUUAUACGAACUAACUGGUAUAAUAUAUAAAGUGAAGUGGCCCCACCAACGACCUUCACAACCAAUUUUAUAAAACCGAUUUUGUAACAGAGAUUAAUAGUUCAAAUAUGUCAACUUAGAAGAACUAACUGAUAAAACAUCGGACGAGAAUCAACAUGUUAUAAUUAAGAAUUUUGACCUAGAGAAUUUUAAUCAAUUUAAAUUACUCAACAAAGUGACAAAAGUUUAUUCAUCGAAGUCGGGGUUGACACAGGAUUUCGAAUAAAAUGACGGAAAAGUUUAUUCAAAAAAAGGAACCGUGAUGAUAGUGACACAUGUCUACCAAUGACUUUCUUCUUCAUAAGUUCGUCGUAUGGAAGUGAACUGUCUACGAAAUUGGCGUUCUUGACAACAAUAAAAGAAAAGGAAACGACGUUAUUACCAUCAAGAGGAAACUAAGAUCUUCGGUGUUUCCUCACUUCCCAUCUCUAAAGUUAACAACAACUUAACCACCCCAAAAGUGGUUCAAUCACAACGUCUAACAAAGAUAAAAUCCCGUUCUUCGGUUUAGUAUAACAAGUAACAUUUAGAACUUUUUGAACAAAUGACAGUUAAGAUAUAGAUAAUAUUUGAAAAAGGA
rnacentral:rRNA from 1 species